rnacentral:rRNA from 1 species
AGCUCCAAUAGCGUAUAUUAAAGUUGUUGCGGUUAAAAAGCUCGUAGUUGGAUUUCUGUUAGGGACGACCGGUCCGCACUAUGUGCGUGUAUCUGGUUCGGCCUUGGCAUCCUCCUGGGGAACGGUGCUGCGCUUGAUUGCGUGGUCCGGUAUUCAGGACUUUUACUUUGAGGAAAUUAGAGUGUUUACGGCAGGCAAUCGCCUUGAAUACAUUAGCAUGGCAUAAUAAAAUAGGACCUCGGGUCUAUUUUGUUGGUUUCUAGAUCUGAGGUAAUGAUUAAUAGGGAUAAUUGGGGGCACUCGUAUUAACACGUCAGAGGUGAAAUUCUUGGAUUGUGUUACGACGAACUACUGCGAAAGCAUUUGCCAAGGAUGUUUUCA